UGCCCAGAAACUCCUAUCCCUACCUCCUCGUGGUACUGCCCGGGGUACGAGUAACCUUGGGGAAGAUCGGGUAACCAACCCCGGUGGGAACUUUGGUCGUAGGCUGGCAGGGAAGG
rnacentral:ribozyme from 1 species